CUAGUGUUUUUAUCCUCUGACGUUUCUCACUGUGCUUGUGCCUAAGUGGCAAAUACUUUAGUUCGUGGAAAACGGUAUAUCUCAGCACUUCCUUAUAAUAUCCUAAAAUUAUUUACAGACAUAUUGUGCAUUUUUGAGCGGUACAGGAGACUAAGUGGUCUGAAAAAGGACCACUGGGUGGCGGAAUGGUUCGCUGGCCGGAAAAAUAGCCAGGCAAACCCAGAAGUAAGACGGAGCGUCCCGGUGGUCUGUCCUCUGAACAGUAAUGAAGGUAGAUCUGGACCUGCAGGAACAUCAUCUGCUGCUAGACUUUAUUCACCAUAACAAA